AACGAACGCUGGCGGCAUGCCUAACACAUGCAAGUCGAACGAGACCUUCGGGUCUAGUGGCGCACGGGUGCGUAACGCGUGGGAACCUGCCCUUAGGUUCGGAAUAACUCCCCGAAAGGGGUGCUAAUACCGGAUAAUGUCUUCGGACCAAAGAUUUAUCGCCUUUGGAUGGGCCCGCGUUGGAUUAGCUAGUUGGUAGGGUAAAAGCCUACCAAGGCGACGAUCCAUAGAUGGUUUGAGAGGAUGAUCAGCCACACUGGGACUGAGACACGGCCCAGACUCCUACGGGAGGCAGCAGUGGGGAAUAUUGGACAGUGGGCGGAAGCCUGAUCCAGCAAUGCCGCGUGAGUGAUGAAGGCCUUAGGGUUGUAAAGCUCUUUUACCCGGGAUGAUAAUGACAGUACCGGGAGAAUAAGCUCCGGCUAACUCCGUG
rnacentral:rRNA from 1 species